UAUAGGUCAUAUACAAAGAUAAGAGGGUAUAUUAUAAACAACUUUACGAUAGUAAAUGUGAAAAUUUAGAGGAAAUGGACACAUUCCUAGGAAAUAGAAUUUACCUAAUUUAUGGAAGUUACUCGGACAGCCGCGGGGGCAGCUACUGCCGGAAAGGAAGUGGCAUUUGAGUACUUGACGCGGAAAUCUUGGCACGUCUCCUUUAAGAGGAGGUGAAGCUCCGCCCCACGUGAGAACGCCAUUUCUCAGCGCCCGUUGUGAUGUACGUCACGACGGUGGAGGGCCAAUGAGGGCCCGGGAGGGGGGGCGUUCCUGUGCGUGUGGACGAGGUGGGGGCGGGACUUCCGGAACCGUCCUCCUGGGAUGCCGUCGGCUCAGGGGUCGGCCCUUACCCGAAGGACCCGAGAGCUGGGUGGGGCGGUCCUGGAGGAUUCUCGGCUGGGGCUCCCUUGGCGGCAGGGCCGCGUGGUCUCCGAGGAUGUGGCCUGUGCUUCUCCCAGGAGGAGUGGCCCGGCGCCUGCUGCGUGGAGGUUGGAUGUGGGGGAACUUGGCACCUGCGGCCCCGGGGUGGUCGGUGUGGAGUAGAGCGGGAGGCACCGGCCGAGCGGGGCGCUUUUGUAAGCGCGUCUCAGGACGCCCCUCGCAGGUCCGUCUGCUUGGGCGCGUUCCCUGAGAUGUGUGGCCCAGGCUGGAAAGACGAGUUGCUCCUGGCUGAGCACCGGGGAGCCGCCGCGGGCAGAAGCUGCAGUGAGGAGGCGUGUGGGAGAGGCUUCGGCCUCAGCGCUCCCGGCUCCAAAGCAGCCCAGCCGAGAGAAACCCAGCAGAGGCGGGCAGGGUAGGGCCUCGUGGCGAGGCACUGUGGAGUCCACGUGUCAGAGAAGCCCUCAGUGUGCGGGGAGGACGGGUCCCCGCAAGCGCCGGCCUCCUCCAGCACCAGGACGGGGAAGGCCGGCAGGAGCGCCGCAGGCUGGGAGGCCGCUCACCCCGGACAGUACGGCAAGUGGGAGGGAGCCUACGGCCGCCACACCGGGGCAGGUCUGAGUGAAGGUAAUCCCCGCCUCUUUCAACGGCGGAGAAUCCACGCUGGGGAAGAGCCUUAUGAGUGCAGCCACCGUGGGAAGGAUGCGUUCAGCGAAGGAUACACGCUUGUUUGGCACCAGAAGGUUCUCAGCAGAAAGGCCUGGUACUUCCCUGGCGGUCCGGUGGUUAGGACUCCGCGCUUCCACUGCAGGGGGCACGGGUUCGAUCCAUGGUCGGGGAACUAAGAUCCCCGCAAGCCAAAGGGCUCAGCACCGCCCCCGCCCCCCCCCCCAAAAAAAAGCCUGAUAAGUGCGGUAAUAUCAGAGAACCUUUAGCGACAUCUCUAAGCUCAGUUGGCAUCAGAAAGUUUAUACUAGAGAAAGUCCCUUUGAAUGCAUGGAAUGAAAGCAUUUUGCCAAAGGUGUGCUCUGAUUUACACUGGAAAGUUCACAGCCCAGGAAAGUGUUAGGAGUGCAGCAAACGUGGGAAAACCUCCUGCCAAAACGUCAAGCUUGUGCUGCAUGGAAGUCUGUUGAGUAUGCCCAGUGUGCGAAAGCGUUAAGCUGCAGGUCCGGCCUCAUUCACCCCUGGCAGGUUCACCCUCGAGGAAGACCUCAUGGAUGCAGAGAUGGAGGAAGGCCUUCCACCCGAGAGGCUUCUUCAUUCAGCAGCAGAACGUUCGCCGUAGAGAGGCCUAUGAGUGCGGCCAAUGUGAGAAAACCUUCAGUCAAGGGCUUCACCUCGUAAAGCAUCAGGAAGUUCAUGCUGGGGAAAGGCCUUAAGUGUGCAGGGGACGUGCUCUCUCCUCGUUCAGCGGAACAGGACGCGCGCCAGAGAUGAGCUGCGGGAGCCUCUGUGAGGAUACCCUGGGCUGGAAGUUGAGCUUCAUGGGGUCGAACGGGAUAUUCCUGACGAGCGCUAGGGACAUUGUUGGCCUCAUGUGACUCGAUGGAUUUGUCCAGCUUCCAAGUCAGACUUCCAGGGGAACUGCCUGCCUCCCAUUAGUCUGCUGGGUGUGGAAAUAAAGGCCUUGUUACUGAAGCCACCUUGAACCUGGGGAUUUCGGCUUACUGUGUAGGAUCAGUCAGUACUCUUAUUCUUAGGGGCACCGUGUUCAGUGAACCACUGUUAAAGAUCCCUGGGGACCAAGGUGUUUUGAUUGCGGGUACACAUCUGCUGUCUUUCUUGGUGGAUGCACCCGCCUUGCCUUUGGUGGUCGAUGCCUGCCGUUUGGCCUCUGCUCCCCUGGAAUCCCAUCGUCUCCAUUGAAACCGGGGAGCCCCCGUCAGUGGCACCAUCCCCACCAUCACGCGUGCCGUCGAGGAGAACAGUCCCGAAGCUUUCCAAGGAGGUGAGUGCUCCUCUCGCUAGUGUGUUUCUCGGUGCCCGAGUGAAAGGAGUGUCUUCUGGGUCUUCCGGAAGUCCGUAGUUGGGAGGGAGGUGUGCAGGUCACACAGGAUGAAUCCAGUACAACAUUCCCCUCUCCCUAGGCCUUUGGAUUCCCUCCUCCAUGCCAGGGAAGCUCUGGCAUCUCAACCUAGCUGAACGUAGGCCAUUUUUGAGGAUAAGUCUCAGUCAAACAGUCAGAUAUGUUGUUUAGAAACACCUCCAGCUGCUCAAGUGAGUGCAUUAAAUCUGGACUCUAGUCCCUUUACCAUCAUCCAUAAAUUUGGCCUGAUCUAGUGUUAUGUUCCACCCUCCGUGGUCUGACACCCUUAGAAUCCACUUCACACGUGUUUCCCAUGUUUCUGGUAUAUAUUAGAAAAGGCUUGCUCAUUUUCUAGGUGGGUAAGCUAGCCUUCCCGGAGCAUUGUGUAUUCCUGUCCCACUGGAGCAUGCUGUGAUUUGACCUUAGUCAUGUGUCUGGUGGCAACGGGGGUAGUUGUGCUGGGUCUUGAGAAUAGGUGUCCCUUUUCAAGGCAUCUCCCCUUGGCAAGGGUGUCACCGGAUUUUCAAGCAAAGGAAGAUGCCACGGACAAACGACCUCUACUGGUGAGGAAGGCUUAGAACAACUUGGGGUUUUAGGAUGAUCAGGUCCCUGGAUCUAACCAGAUGUCCCCACUCCCAGUUUCAUGCUCCCACCCUUUCUCAGUCAGUGCCUGACUUUCCCUUGAGAUACUGGUGAGACUGAAUCUGGCUGUUAACAAGCAAUACAAUGAACUUUUCUGUAUGAUUUUUAGAAAUAACAGCCCUGUGACUGCAAGAAAAGAAAGAGGUUCUUUAUUGAAGUAUUCUGGUUCUGUUACUUGUCCUGAGAGUUAAGUCACCAUGACUUGUCAUUUUCUCUCUAUAUGCACUCCAGUGCACUCAAAGCUCUAUCCCAUACCGUACUUCCUGUAGUCAUCUUUACUACCAUUUAAAAAAAAAAAAAAAGGUUCAGUAGCCACAGGUGCUCCAAGUCACUUGCUUCAGUUAGCACUUCAUCACAAGCAACCAAAGGCGAAGGCUUCAUUAAUUCUGAUGCUGGUGCAUGGGGGCAUGCCAUGGAUUACUAGCUUCCCAUUUCCCGCUGGCAAUGAGCUCAACACUGCUUAAGCUUGAAAUCACAACAGAUCAAUUCCCAGAUCCCACUUUGCAAGUCUAUCUCCUGUGAUCACUCCCGGUACCAGUUCUGUAUCAGUCAGGGUCCAGUCCAGCAGACAGUAACCACACAAUAAUAUGAGCAAGGAAGGUCUGAGAUAAGGAUUAUUAACUAUUUCCAGGGAGAUAAAAGAGCAUUUGAAGGAAUACCCCAAGGGAGAGUACCCACGGAAGGAACAAAUGUGGAAGGCAGGGAGCCCUCCCUAAGGCUGGAUUGACACCUUGUUGGAGAUGGUGGUGUUGUUUUAACUCAACAGACAGACGGCAGAAAAGUUCUCAGGGUUGAUCUUGGCCAGAGUUGGUCCAUAUGACUGAUGGGCAAGAGCUCUGAGCUAGUGGAAGGCGGGACCCUCUAUCCCCAGCGCCCCCCCUCCUGCACUGGGGUGCCUACGUGAUUCACCUGGAAGCUGCCCUGGGGAAGGGAGGUGCUGUCAACUUUGCUUAGAAGCCUGCUGGGUCGUGGCUGGGCUUGCUGGUGAGCUGCUGAGAAGCCCUCCGGGGAGUGCCCUUGAACCCUCUGGAAACUGCUUACAGGGGUGCCACUGAGCUCCCCACCAGGAAGCCACUUCAGGUGCCCUGAAGCUCACUGGGAGGCGAGCUCCUGGGUACACCGCGCUCCAGCCAAGCACCCGGGGAAGAAGGAGGAGAAACUUGCUCUUCCAGUGUCCCUCCAGCUCCCUCUACCGACAGAACCUGACAUUGCGCCAGCUGCAAGGAAGACGUGGUCUGGACCAGAAGCAGGACAGUGGGAAGUGGUGUCAGGGCUGAGAGGCCACGCGUUUACCGCCGGCACAACCGAAGUCGUGUUAUGACGCUAGCCCACCCUCGAUGGCAAAACCCGGCAAAGACAGCAGGAGAAAAAGAAUACUGGUCUGUGUCACAUGUGCAUGGAUGCAAAAUGCUAAAGAAAUCUCAGAAAACUGGACUUAGCAAUAUAUAAACUAUAAUGCACUAAGACCACCUUGGGUUUAUAUUGGUGUCCGCUGGCUCUCCACCGAAAUCUGUGCUCUUCUUUCAUAGUAUGGGGCUGUCACCGUGAAGCACCCAGCUGUGACCAGGUGACCUCUUCAUCAGUGGAGUGCUGCCUCCAGGCUAAGGCUUUUAGGAAGAGAGCACGUGGGCCUCCUCCCCGUCUCUUUCCCGGUGGUGGGGUGGUGCGGAUGAUGACCGGCCCCUUGGGGAUGGAGGAGUUACCAGGUGGUGGCGUGUGAAGAGCUUCCUGCCAAUCCAGCUUCCAUCCUGGGCUAAACAGGUGAUAAGCUUCUCAUGUUUUGAGCUAGUGCCCACUUCGGCUUAGGUAUGUAUGUGUAUGUGUGUGUUUUAGCCUUACCUAGCCAUAUUUAUAAGUUAUAUAGUUCACUAUAUUUACAACUUAUUAAGGGAUAAAAAUGAUAUGAUCAUGUUAACAGAUGAAAAAGUGUCUAAUAAAAAACCCCUG